rnacentral:lncRNA from 1 species
CUUGGAUUUAUUGAAUUUGGAAGAAAACUUCAAAAUUGCCAUUGCUAAUCUUUACUAAAAUCUUUUAGAAAAUUAUGAUUUUAAUUCCUUCUAAAUCAUAUGAGAUGAUUUUAGGUGAACUCAUAGGCUUUCAACCAACUCUUAUAGCAAUGACUAAUAACCUCUAAAUUAUUAAAACUAACUAAAUUUCUAUUCUAAUUUUCUAAAUCUUAUUACUUUGGUCCUAAUUAAUCCAAUUCAAGGAAUUAGGCUAGGAUUUAUACUAUCAAAGGUUAUAAUCCUCAAAACUCUACAAAACUAGACUUUGCCUAUAUAAAUCAUAAUCUAACUUAUUCAAUUACCAUAAAAUAAGAAAAAAUAAUUUAAAUUUAAAUUUUGGAGCAUAAUUGAAUGCUUUCACCAAUAAAAAUAGAGAUUUUUAUCAUCCAUCUCCAUUCAUCCAUUUGAUUGGCCUAACUAUUCUUUUUUACAUAAAAAUCCUUAUUUAAUUCUUUUUUCAAUAAAUUUUACAUGAUAUGUGCUCUAAAUAUCAAAUAAAAAAAAACAAGAUUUUAAGAGUCACCAAUGUCUAAUAAAGAUGAUUAUAAAUAUAUAAAAACUAUUAUCAACAUAAAAUCAA